rnacentral:tRNA from 1 species
GCCUCUGUAGCUCAGCGAGAGAGAAUCCAUCUCGUAAACAGAAUGGCUGUGGUUCAAUUCCGUUUAGAGGCA